rnacentral:misc_RNA from 1 species
ACAACCGUGCCGGCUGCGAUUGUGGCCGCUGCGGGAGUCGGUGAUUGAGCUUCUUUCAUGGGGAGCCCGAGCAAACGGUGCGCCGUGUCGUGUUCAUUUAGCAUUGGCUAUGCAAUCGGUGCCUAUUUGGCGACGAGCGUGCAGUCGGUGCGUGUGGGAACAGGUUUGAUCACGGCAUGGCAAGCAGUUUGGGAUGGCAAACCGUGGGGCGGUGAAGUUGCCGCAUCUACGUGCCUAACGGGGCGUGCUUGGGCGUUUUGGGCGCUGUUUGUUGCAUUAUGAAGCAGCGAAUGGCGGCCAUUUCGUCUGGGCAUCGUGUACGUAUGGUGCGUGAGUGGUGGUUGGCUUGUUUGGGCACGUUGGAUCCCUGCUUGGGCAGCGACGGCGCGCCUUGCUAGCCUUUUCAGCUGGCGGCCCAAGUGCGUAUUAGCCUUGGCCGAUCUCGGUUUCCUGUGUUGCAUACCUAUUGCGAAGGCAUUGAAUCGGUUAAAGACGUCCCCUUUCCGCCUUGUGCUCGGCCUCUUGGGGCCGCGGCGCCGGGUGGACCGCAAAACACUUGCCGUGUUCCACUUCCCGUGCGUUCCCACAUGGGGCGCCGGGUUGAUGGCCCAUGGCAUCGUGCUCGAUCUCUUGGGUGCUGAAAAUCGUGUGGGCACGAGGCCCCCGGCCCCUAUUUGCCCCGAAGCAAAGCGUUCUACGCUUCGUGCGAACGACGACCGUUGCCGCUUUGAUCGAGUCCUCGUGGCUCCGAUCACGCGGUGCCGGCGCCGAUGAGGAAUGCU